ensembl:lncRNA
GAAAGUGCUCAGCUUCUAGAAGCUGGGAACUUUCUGGCCUAGGCUGCAGCGUCCUCUCGGCCCCCCCACCCCCAUCCUAAGUUUCCCGAGGUCUCCCGGCCUCGCCCAGCCCGGGGGUUUCCGCCGUCCCUUUCCCGGCCCCCUCCCACCCCCAACUGCACCCCAAAUGAAGCUAACGCCGGACUGGGGCUCUCCUGUCGGGAGGGACCUGCUCUGGAUCUCCUGCCGCUGUUAGAGCCAAACCCAAGGCAGGCGGCCUACUCGUUCCGAGAGCAUCGGGAGCUUCGCAGAUGUGGAGAUGGUUAUUUGUAGUUUAUCCUCACAGCAAACUGGGGCGAAUCCGCUCCACACACUACUGAGCGCCUACUGUGUACCAAGUCUCUACUAAGCCUGUUCUCCAACAGGAUCCGGGUCGGAGUGGGAUAGAGAACCAAGAGCUGAGAGCCAGCGUCUGCCUCUGGCUGGGGUUAUUCGCUCACGGAUUACUGAAGUCGGUAAAUAUUUACGAAAAUCUCACAAAGUCACCAAGUUGCCCAGGCCGGGCUAGAACUUGUGAGCCUCCUGCCUGAGGCCUUUCCAGAGUGCUUUCCAACGUGCUGGGGUUACAAGUGGGCACCACUGUGCUCAGGUACAGUACCUAUUUGUUUGUUUGUUUAAAUGUAGUGUGAAUACUUAAAAUUUACCCUCUCAGCGAAUUUCAAGCACACAACAUGUCAGUACUGCAGGAGGGCCUUGGAAGCCAGAGUAGAAAGCAAUGAGUGAUUCACCCAACCUCGGAAAGCUGCAGCUCACACCCCAGUGGGUCUGUUCAGACAGCUGGAUCUAUGUUGGGUACCUCAGAAAGGCUCAGACGUUUGUAGAAG